GAUGAACGCUAGCGGCAGGCUUAAUACAUGCAAGUCGAGGGGCAGCGCAGUGUAGCAAUACAUGGGCGGCGACCGGCAAACGGGUGCGGAACACGUACUCACCCUUCCUACAAGUGGGGAAUAGCCCAGAGAAAUUUGGAUUAAUACCCCGUAACAUAGCGAUGUGGCAUCACAUUGCUAUUAUAGCUUCGGCGCUUGUUGAUGGGUGUUCGGCUGAUUAUUUGGUUGGCGGGGUAACGGCCCACCAAGUCUACGAUCAGUAGCUGAUGUGAGGGCAUGAUCAGCCACACGGGCACUGAGACACGGGCCCGACUCCUACGGGAGGCAGCAGUAAGGAAUAUUGGACAAUGGACGCAAGUCUGAUCCAGCCAUGCCGCGUGAAGGAUUAAGGUCCUCUGGAUUGUAAACUUCUUUUAUAAGGGACGAAAAAAGGUCUUUCUAGAUCGUCUGACGGUACCUUAUGAAUAAGCACCGGCUAACUCCGUGCCAGCCGCCGCCGUAAAAC
rnacentral:rRNA from 1 species